rnacentral:rRNA from 1 species
GACAGAGGAUGCAAGCGUUAUCCGGAAUGAUUGGGCGUAAAGCGUCUGUAGGUGGCUUUUUAAGUCCGCCGUCAAAUCCCAGGGCUCAACCCUGGACAGGCGGUGGAAACUACCAAGCUGGAGUACGGUAGGGGCAGAGGGAAUUUCCAGUGGAGCGGUGAAAUGCGUAGAUCUUGGAAAGACCACCAAUGGCGAAGGCACUCUACUGGGCCAUGACUGACACUAAGAGACGAAAGCUAGGGGAGCAAAUGGG